UGUAAGAGGAAAGUUAUUAUACGCAUGCGCAGUGAAAUUACAUUUUUCGAAGGUUUUUUAAAAUGGCUACGGUAACAGGAUUUUAGAAACUAAUCAUUGACAACGAUAUUCCAACCAUAUUUGCGUUUCAACAAAGAAACUUGCCUGUUGUAAAGAAGGAAAAAGUAAACUAAAGCAGAAAGACUUUUUCUUGGAACUCGAUAUAAAUAUUUUUUGUUUCGUGUUUAAAUUUUUUUUUUUAAUGUUUUCAGCUUGAGAUUGUUAAAAUCAAUAUGAGUAUAUUUAAAAUAUUUUUUACUUAAAGAUUGAAA
rnacentral:lncRNA from 1 species